rnacentral:lncRNA from 1 species
GCCAUAAAAGGGAAAACGCUUCACCAAACCACAGUCUUCCAAAUUUGCUUCUCCUUAAUUAUUGCAUACAUGAAAUCGCUCCGUGUAGAAAAGCUGCGGGGAAAUCAGAAGCCCACAGCAGAGGCACGGGCCCACUCCCCACCCCCACCCCCGCCUUCCCUCCUCUUUGCCGUGGAUGUUCCCGGUCCUUUACCCCAGCACUCGCAGAAAACACUCUGUCAGCUCACCCCUCGGUGUUCCUUUGCAUCCCAAGUGGCACACGGCAUCAAUGCCACCCUUCUGAGAGUUCUGCUCUGCUGAGAGUUCAAGGCAGCCUGACAACAAAAAGCCCACGUGGACAGCUUUGAUGCUGGCUUUGUGAUCUUCCCGUCAGCCACCUUCUCAUGAGCUCUCUGGCACUCUCGGGCAAGCUCUGUGAGUCACUGCAGCCUCAGAAAGCACAGUCUGGAGAGAGGAAGAGAAAGCACAUUCUGAU